CCUACGGGAGGCAGCAGUGGGGGAUAUUGCACAAUGGGGGGAACCCUGAUGCAGCGACGCCGCGUGGGUGAAGAAGCGCCUCGGCGCGUAAAGCCCUGUCAGCAGGGAAGAAAAUGACGGUACCUGAAGAAGAAGCCCCGGCUAACUACGUGCCAGCAGCCGCGGUAAUACGUAGGGGGCAAGCGUUAUCCGGAUUUACUGGGUGUAAAGGGGGCGCAGACGGCGAUGCAAGCCAGGAGUGAAAGCCCGGGGCCCAACCCCGGGACUGGGCGUGGAACUGCGUGGCGGGAGUGGAGGAGGGGCAGGAGGAAGUCCUGGUGUAGCGGUGAAAUGCGUAGAUAGCAGGAGGAAAACCGGUGGCGAAGGCGGACUGCGGGACUGCAACGGACGUUGAGGCCCGAAAGGGUGGGGAGCAAACAGGAUUAGAUACCCGAGUAGUC
rnacentral:rRNA from 1 species